AGUGAUAUGUGGGGAGCUAGGGAAACUUGGAGACAUGAAUACACAGUUGUUGGAAGUGGUCAUCAAAGAGACCCACAGUAGUGAUCCACAGCAAAAGGUGAUAAAAGCUCAGCAACAAACAGUCUGGGGAAACACAUGAGGACACCUCAGGGAUUCUCAGAACUACAGCUGGAGGAAACUGGAUUUCCUGCACUCCAUCGCAGCACGAGGGGCCCAGACUUUAUUACUGGGUGUUUAGAGGAAUGUGACCUCCUAAAAUGUGAUAACUUGGGGAUGUUUGGGAUAUAAAGACAUUAACAUUCCCCCCUCCACUCCAUAAUCUCCCAAGGACGUUUGGAUGGACUGUCCUGAGUUGUUUUGGACUAUGAGACAGAAAAAAUAAUCCGUAAGGUCUGGUUCACCUCUUUGAUCUCAAAACCUUGAGAGAGACCUAUGUUAUACGACCAAACCCUGACUAGUAAUUGCCUCUGUUGGGUUUGACGUCAGUUGAUGACUGGACUUUGAACCUGAGACAGAGUUUAAAAGAAAGGUAGCUGGAGGCAAAUCAUUUCCUUCCUGGAUUACCUAGCGAGAACAUCCAAAAUGAAAGCCUUCGCUCACCUCGCUCUUCUUGCCCUCCUUUUUCCAGCCUUAGCCAUGAGCCAAGACAAUACAACCUCAAGUGUCUCUUUAACCACAAAUAUUACAGCUACUACCAUCACAAUUAUACCUAUUUCUAACACAUCUACCAUCACAAGUCCAACUACCACAGAUACUACAACCUCUACUGUCACAAACACAUCGACUACCACAGAUACUACAACCUCUACUAUCACAAACACAUCUGCUGCCACAGAUACUACAACCUCUACUGUCACAAACACAUCGACUACCACAGAUACUACAGCCUCUACUGUCACAAACACAUCGACUACCACAGAUACUACAGCCUCUACUGUCACAAACACAUCGACUACCACAGAUACUACAACCCUACUGUCACAAACACAUCGACUACCACAGAUACUACAACCUCUACGGUCACAAAUACAUCGACUACCACAGAUACUACAGCCUCUACUGUCACAAACACAUCGACUACCACAGAUACUACAGCCUCUACUGUCACAAACACAUCGACUACCACAGAUACUACAGCCUCUACUGUCACAAACACAUCGACUACCACAGAUACUACAACCUCUACUGUCACAAACACAUCGACUACCACAGAUACUACAACCUCUUCGGUCACAAAUACAUCGACUACCACAGAUACUACAGCCUCUACUGUCACAAACACAUCGACUACCACAGAUACUACAGCCUCUACUGCCACAAACACACCUGCUACCACAGAUACUACAGCCUCUACUGCCACAAACACACCUGCUACCACAGAUACUACAGCCUCUACUGCCACAAACACAUCUGCUACCACAGAGAGUACAACUCCUAACACUGCUACGAGUACACCUACUCCCGCAGGUGGUAUAG
rnacentral:lncRNA from 1 species